GCAUUCUCACCUAUAUAACCAAACCCCAUCCUUCCAUUGGAUUCAUCAAAGCAUAGCUCGUGUUAUCUUACUCUCUACAAAUCCCACUACAAACUUGUUGGUUCUAUAUUACAGUAACAUAAAAAAUGAGUUCAGCGAGUAAAGCUUGGUUGGUUGCCGCUGCUAUCGGAGGUGUUGAGGCGUUGAAAGAUCAAGGGUUCUGUAGGUGGAACUACACCUUGAGAUCCCUACACCACCAUGCCAAGAACCAUGUCAGAUCAGCCUCUCAGGCCAAGAAGCUUUCUUCUUCAUCCUCAGCCAUGAUCUCAAAUAUAGUCAAGGAAGAGAAGGCAAAACAGUCAGAGGAGUCUUUAAGAAAAGUCAUGUACUUGAGUUGUUGGGGUCCAAACUGAAGCUAUGAAUCUAGUAGAUGAAAUCGAGGGACUUAGUUUGUAGGAGUAAAUCCUUGCAAGCUUAUGCAAAUUGUAAAAUUUGAUGCUCAUUUGGAGCUGUAGAGGCAUUGAAGGACCAGGGUUUUUGCAGAUGGACCUACACCAUGAGAUCAUUACACAAACAUGCCAAGAAUAAUACGAGGUCAAUCUCUCAGGCCAGGAAGCUUUCUUCUUCAUCUUUUGCUAUGGUUUCGAAUAAAUUGAGGGGAUCAAGCCAAUACGAGGAGUCUCUGAGGAAAGUCAUGUACUUGAGUUGUUGGGGUCCAAAUUAAAUGAGUUUAGAAGUUUGCCAUGAGAAUCUGAUGCCUUAUGCAGGCUGAAGCUGGUCCAUUGAGAAGAACAUAGCCAAAGCCAUGAUUAUGGUUUGUGAGAGAAAAUUUGCGGGGCUUGAUUAGUGAUUGAUGCAAGCCUAGUGUUAACUGUAGCUAGUCUGACUGCCAUCUCAUGAUCAGCUUGUAAUUACACCAUUGCUAUACGCAACACGAAAAUUUUGUGGAACAAAAUAUGUUGUCACCAUCUUCCUAUCUUUUGCUAUCCCUUUUUAAUUGAUGUCCCAUGCAAUCUCAAAAAUCUUGCUUGUUCUUUGAUCAUUUCGUUGUGAGAUGUUGCCACCAAAUUUUCAUGGUUUCUGUGACAUGGGCUAAAUGACAUUCAAACAUCCUGCUUAAUUUCGAGCAUGGAUUCAGCCUUUCCUUGAUAGAUCAUGGUUUGAUGCUUAACGUCAAGCAACAAGAUUGGAAACAUGUGCAUUUUCAAUUAAGAAUUCUGGAAUUUCAAAACUUUUUCUGCAGAUCUGUCUUCCAAAUUCCUACCUGUCUAUCAGUGUGACCACUUCUCACUUCAAGCAAAGCGAUUAACUAUUUCUGUGCAUGGAUAGUAGGGCUUCGAUAGGAUUUUAGAGGCUUACCUUGAAUGGUGGGCAGAAUUUUUUAGAGCAAAGGACAUUUAUAGACUUAAAUCUUGAAGUAAGGGAUAAUUUCUUCAUCUUCUUCGCCAUCAUAUCCUCCUUAACCAUGCUACUAUUCUAACACCCACACAUACACAUGGUUAUUCAAGGCUCUUUCUCUUCUACUUAAAUUGAUUUAAGCAUUGAAGGAUCAAUCAUUUUCAUCAAAAGACUUGUUUUGAAGGUUAUCAUCCAUCCCAAUACUUUCUCAAGCAGGUUUUAGUCCAACUCAACCUAAAGAGUAACUAAUUCUUUUGGAAGGGGUUUCUACAACUUCAUCACUGUUAGCUUGAAAUUGUACUCACCUAAUUAACCCUCGUUUUAAAGUUUGUGCAUGAUUUUUUUAUAUUCAAAAGUUAGCAUUCUGAGUUUUUUUUUUAAUGUAUAAUGUGUUUAUAGGAUAUGGCUUCUAAAAAUAAUUUAAAAAUAAUGGUGCUAAUUGGUGCUUACGUAUUUUCUUUUCCCAAAUCUUAUAUAAACCUUCUGUGUAAGUUGAUGGCGAGUAGGAUUUUUAUAAAUCUUCAUGUCUGGAUGUAAGUAAUUUGCUCAAUUUUGUAAGUUCCUGAAAAGGGAUCGAUUCAAGCUUUAUGUGAAUACAUGUUUACCAUAAAAUAAAAUAUGAAAAAGAUGAAUUCCAAGAAAUCGAGAGAGAAAGAGAGAGAGAGAGAGAGCUAUCCUCAGUCCCACACUUUCUUUCAGUCCUUACAAGUGGCAAAAGCACUUCAAUGAGAAGUGCCACCAAAUUGUGACAUGCAUGACUCACCACCCUUCAGCUAUGCUCCUCCUGAUACGUUGGCUUGGAUUUAUUUAUUUUACGAAGCAAAACCGUGUGCUCAUUUCAAGGCAGGCAGAGAAGCUUUUGACUUGCUGUGGAGUGAAGGGCAAAAAAAUCUAGCCAUCCCAAGAACCCGAUUUUGUCCCCACCUUCUUGUUGUCGCCAUGUGGUAGUUGAAUGUCAAUACAGUCAUCUCACCAUAAAAAAAUACCAUUGGCUUUUGCUGGUUUCCUCACCCAAAACCACCAGCAGGAAGCCUUUAGCCUCAGGUUUUUUCCUAAACUUUUGGCAUUCUCACCUAUAUAACCAAACCCCAUCCUCCCAUCGGAUUCAUCAAAGCAUAGCUCGUGUUUUCUUACUCUCCACAAAUCCCACUACAAACUUGUUGGUUCUAUAUUACAGUAACAUAAAAAAUGAGUUCAGCGAGUAAAGCUUGGUUGGUUGCCGCUGCUAUCGGAGGUGUUGAGGCGUUGAAAGAUCAAGGGUUCUGUAGGUGGAACUACACCUUGAGAUCCCUACACCACCAUGCCAAGAACCAUGUCAGAUCAGCCUCUCAGGCCAAGAAGCUUUCUUCUUCAUCCUCAGCCAUGAUCUCAAAUAUAGUCAAGGAAGAGAAGGCAAAACAGUCAGAGGAGUCUUUAAGAAAAGUCAUGUACUUGAGUUGUUGGGGUCCAAACUAAAGUAAUGAAUCUAGGAGAUGAAAUCGAGGGACUUAGUUUAUAGGAGUAAAUCGUAGCAAGCUUAUGCAAAUUGUAAAUUUUGAUGCUCAUUUGAUGAAAUCGAACAUUAUCGCAUGUUUCUACCAUUUCUUUUGGUAACGCGCAGUGCAUUUCCCUAGUGAGUAAAUUUAACAAAGCUCUUUUCUAGUUUUCAAGUGGAAUAAACAGGCAAUUAAUUUCAAUAUGAGAUAUGAAAUUCAACUCGAGGCUAAAAUCUCUUUCUCCCCACAUCCUCAAAUGGAUAAAAAGGCUACAUGAAAAACGAAAACCUCAAAUUGGAUUUGACCCCAAAGAAAAUCCAUUUUGCUGUAAAAUUCUCAGUCACUGAUCUCAACAGGAGUGAUCGUUGUGUGAAAAAUGGAACAUAAGCUUGUACUAUCAGAUAAAUUUAUUAAUAAGUAAGAUUGGAUUAGCUUCAAUAAGGAAUUAUAAUUACGAAAGCUAAAUCUUUUAAAUUUUAGAGCAAUUAGAAAUCAAAGAGUUACAUGGUUAUUAAUUUAAAAAUUCAUAAAAUUAAUUAAAAAAUAUAUGAAUUGAUUAGAACACCUAUAUUAAUUAAAAAAAAUAAUAGGAAUGAUGCUGAUUCAAAAUUAAUGUUCAUUCUUAAAUCACUCUUACAAGCUCACUAGAAUCUCUCUAUGUUAAACCCAAAUGAAAACAAAAAACUAAAAAUAUGAGCGUUUAUUUUCAGAAAAACAAAUGGUCGUGAGACCAACACAAUUUUUGCCUAAAUUUCUUUUCAAGCGCUAAUAGUUAGCAUUAGUGGAAAGCUACCUCCAAGAAUAUGGCAUGUGGCAUUCCUCGACUCUAAUUUGGCCUUUGUUGGAUUUUUUUGUUUAACAAAACGGUGUGCUCGUGAGAAGAUAGAGACAAAGUUGAUUUGUCGCAUGUCAUGCACAAAUUAAAAAAUCCACUAACGCAUCAUGUCAUAAAAAAUACCGUUGGCCUUUGCUGGUUUCCUCCCUCGAAACCACCACCAAGAAGCCUUUAGCCUAUGGUUUUUCUCCUACACUUUUGGUACACUCACCUAUAUAACCAAACCCCUUUACUCCCCUUUACUUCAUCAAAUCAUAGCUCCUGAUAUCUUAAUCUCUACAAAUCCCACUUCAAAGAGUUUCCAACUCGUUGGUUCUAUAUUACAGUAACACAGAAAAUGAGUUCAGCAAGCAAAGCUUGGUUGGUUGCAGCAGCUGUUGGAGGUGUUGAGGCCUUGAAAGACCAAGGGUUCUGCAGGUGGAACUACACCUUGAGAUCCCUCCACCAACAUGCCAAGAACCAUGUCAGAUCAGCCUCUCAGGCCAAGAAGCUUUCUUCUUCAUCCUCUGCCAUGAUCUCGAAUAAAAUCAAGGAAGUGAGAGCAAAACAGUCUGAGGAAUCUCUAAGAAAAGUCAUGUAUUUGAGCUGUUGGGGCCCUUACUAAGCAAAGAAGCAAGAACAGAGAUUGAGGAAAUUAUCGUGAUAGGAUUACCCUGAUUGUUGCAAGUCGAUGUAAAUAUUUGUAAAUUUUGUUGCUGACUUAAUGGAAUCAAACAAUAUUAUUCUUGGAUUAGUUUUUCCUUGCACCUUUUAUGUUUUCCCACUUCUUUUGGUAGCACCUCAUGUCACAGGUGAAAACUAAAGGGAUCAUGACAAGGUUCAAUUUUAGUGCAUCACAGCAUUUGCUAAGGAUAUUUAAAUUAAUUGCAACCCCAAGCUAAAUAUCUAAUUUGGUUUAAAAAGUAUUUUAAAAAAUCAGCAACUCAACUGGAGGAGGGGUUGUAUCGCAAAAGCUAAAUAUCUUGAUAGGUUGACAAAUUAGUGCAAAUCUUAAACUGGAAUUCUCAAUUUCAAUCUGGCCCAGAAGAAAAUUAGUUUAGGAGUAUUUCUUCACUCACAAGUGUUUUUUUUAAUAUUAUAUUUUAUAAUUUUUUAGUUGAAUAUUGAAUUCUUUAAUAGUUAAGUUUCAUAUUUUUAUUUAGUUUUUUUUUUUACUUUUUUAAUUAUUUUUUGCCAUGAAUAAUCUUUUGAAUAAAUAUAAAAUUUAUUUCUAGCAACAAAAUUACUAGAUAUAAUUGAGUAAUAACGCAUAAUUAAAUAUUUUAAUCUUAUUAAAUAUUUUAAUCAAAUAUUAAUUCAUUCAAUUAAAUACAUGCAUAAAUAUUGUAAUAUAUAAUUGAGAAUUUUUUAUAUUAACAACCUCAUGAAAAACUUAAUUAUUAUUUUUUUUUUUUACUAAAAAGGAUAUAUAAUCCUCUACGAAGUGCUGUUGAAAUAGUUUACAUACAGUCCUCAUUGUGCAUGGUGAAUAUUUUGCAGGAGAUUCCCGGAUCAUUAAACAACUUCAUCAUUUAAAUGAUGAAUGCAGAGAGGUAUUUAUGGUGCAGCUUGGAUUCAGUUCAAAGAGAUCCAAUAUAUGUUUCCUUGCUUCGUCCAGAUGAAGGUUACGUUUGUGUGAUUGUGGAUGGCAGCUCUCAUGGGCAAUCCAGGCGUGUCUGGAUUUGGGGAACUGGUUUGAAACAAUGACAGUCACCGGAUGGCGGGUUUCUUGGGUUUUUGUGGUUUUGGAUUGAAUCUUCUUCCGGAACUUCUGGCAAUUAAACAUGGCUUAGCUGAAGCAUAGGAUAGAGGCCAUAGGAGGAUCAUUAUCGAUUCUCAAGAGGCAAUCAAGCUUACAAAAGAGAAGAAUUCUAAAUUUCAUAAAUUGGAUGCGGUUAUAUGUAGAUGUCAAGUUUUUUUGGCUAAGCAUGAUGUAAAGAAUCAUGAUUUGUUCCAGGUGUGGGACAUUCCUUCUCCGGGGCUACACUCUCUCCUUAUGACCGAUUCGUUGGUUCGUUGGGUUUCAAUUUUAGAAGAGUUUUUUAGUUUGUGUCAUUUAAUUUUCACUGCAUCAAAAAAAAAAAAAAUUCCUAACUAUUACUUCAACUUUCUUGCUUAUUAGCAAUCAUACAACAACAGCAGCAACAAGUAACAGCAUCACUUGUCUUUCAUCCUUUUACAGUUCCAUAACACCAAAACAGCUUUGUGAAUACAUGUUUAACCGUAAAAUAAAAUACGAAAAAAGAUGAAUUUUAAGAGAGAGAGAGAGAGGCUCUCAACUUUAUUUUAUAUUAAAGAAAACGAAAAGGAGAAGCAUGCAUUUUGACAUUUGUUUAUCCUCAGUCCCACACUUUCUUUCAGUCCUUACAAGUGGCAAAAAUGAGAAGUGCCACCAAAUUGUGACAUGCAUGACUCACCACCCUUCAGCUAUGCUCCUCCUUAUACGGUGGCUAGGAUUUAUUUAUUUUACGAAGCAAAACCAUGUGCUCAUUUCAAGGCAGGCAGAGAAGCUUUUGGCUUGUUGUGGAGUAAAGGGCAAAAAAAUCUAGCCAUCCCAAGAACCCGAUUUUGUCCCCACUUUCUUAUUGUCACCAUGUGGUAGUUGAAUGUUAAUACAGCCAUCUCACCAUAAAAAAUUACCAUCGGCUUUUGCUGGUUUCCUCACCCAAAACAACCAGCAGGAAGCCUUUAGCCUCAGGUUUUUUCCUCAACUUUUGGCAUUCUCACCUAUAUAACCAAACCCCAUCCUCCCAUCGGAUUCAUCAAAGCAUAGCUCGAGCUUUCUUACUCUCUACAAAUCCUACUACAAACUUGUUGGUUCUAUAUUACAGUAACAUAAAAAAUGAGUUCAGCGAGUAAAGCUUGGUUGGUUGCCGCUGCUAUCGGAGGUGUUGAGGCGUUGAAAGAUCAAGGGUUCUGUAGGUGGAACUACACAUUGAGAUCCCUCCACCACCAUGCCAAGAACCAUGUCAGAUCAGUCUCUCAGGCCAAGAAGCUUUCUUCUUCGUCCUCAGCCAUGAUCUCAAAUAUAGUCAAGGAAGAGAAGGCAAAACAGUCAGAGGAGUCUUUAAGAAAAGUCAUGUACUUGAGUUGUUGGGGUCCAAACUGAAGCUAUGAAUCUAGUAGAUGAAAUCGAGGGACUUAGUUUAUAGUUUAUAGGAGUAAAUCCUUGCAAGCUUAUGCAAAUUGUAAAUUUUGAUGCACAUUUUCUGAAAUCGAACAUUAUCACAUGUUUUUAUCAUUUCUUUUGGUAGCGCGAGUGCAUUUCCCUAGUGAGUAAAUUUAACAAAGCUCUUUUCUAGUUUUCUAGUGGAA
rnacentral:lncRNA from 1 species